CGCGAUCACCGUCUACAAGCUCGACCCGGCGGGCCGCUAUGCGACGCGCACCACGAUCCGGGCGGGAAAGGUCUCACUGAACUCCAUCCAGGUGCUGCAGGGGCUCCGUCCGGGCGAUCGCAUCAUCACGUCCGAGAUCGGCGAGUGGCAGGGGCAGGACCGCAUCC
rnacentral:misc_RNA from 1 species